rnacentral:rRNA from 1 species
GGUACGGACGCNCUNUACAGGGGGAUAACACUUAGAAAUAGGUGCUAAUACCGCAUAAGCGCACAGUAUCGCAUGAUACAGUGUGAAAAACUCCGGUGGUACAGGAUGGACCCGCGUCUGAUUAGCUGGUUGGCGGGGUAACGGCCCACCAAGGCGACGAUCAGUAGCCGACCUGAGAGGGUGAACGGCCACAUUGGGACUGAGACACGGCCCAAACUCCUACGGGAGGCAGCAG